GACGAACGCUGGCGGCGUGCUUAACACAUGCAAGUCGAGCGGUAAGGCCCUUUCGGGGGUACACGAGCGGCGAACGGGUGAGUAACACGUGGGUGACCUGCCCUUAGCUCUGGGAUAAGCCUGGGAAACUGGGUCUAAUACCGGAUAUGACUCCAUGACGCAUGUUGUGGGGUGGAAAGCCUUGUGCGGCUAGGGAUGGGCCUGCGGCCUAUCAGCUUGUUGGUGGGGUGAUGGCCUACCAAGGCGACGACGGGUAGCCGGCCUGAGAGGGCGGCCGGCCACACUGGGACUGAGACACGGCCCAGACUCCUACGGGAGGCAGCAGUGGGGAAUCUUGCGCAAUGGGCGAAAGCCUGACGCAGCGACGCCGCGUGGGGAGUGACGGCCUC
rnacentral:rRNA from 1 species